rnacentral:lncRNA from 1 species
AAAAAUUAGGGGGGUCGGCCUAUUCCAGGACUUCUAGAGAAAAAUAAUGAGGGGUGUCACGGGAUAUGACUAUAUAGGUCUUGUAGAGGAGAAACAGGCGCUUCUUUUGCGCUAGGUAUCGAAGGGCGCUAUGUUCAAAAAUCUGAAACUAGAGCUCAAAAAUUUGAAAAAAAUGUCAAAAAAUUAGGGGGGGGUCGGCCUAUUCUAGGACUUCUAGAGAAAAAUAAUGAGGGGUGUCACGGGAUAUGACUAUAUAGGUCUUGUAGAGGAGAAACAGGCGCUUCUUUUGCGCUAGGUAUCGAAGGGCGCUAUGUUCAAAAAUCUGAAACUAGAGCUCAAAAUUUGAAAAAAAUGUCAAAAAAUUAGGGGGGUCGGCCUAUUCCAGGACUUCUAGAGAAAAAUAUGAGGGGUGUCACGGGGUAUGACUAUAUAGGUCUUGUAGAGGAGAAACAGGCGCUUCUUUUGCGCUAGGUAUCGAAGGGCGCUAUGUUCAAAAAUCUGAAACUAGAGCU